rnacentral:ribozyme from 1 species
UAUAGAGCAAGUAGGAGAGGAAGAGAAAGAGAAAGAGAGUAAGAGAGAGAGAAUGAAUGAUAGUGAUAUUGAAGAGGAAGAAGAAGAGAAGAAUGAAAAUCGAAAGAAGAAGAAUGAGAGAGAGAGAGAGAUUUCCCAUCG